GAUGCCUUUAGGCACCAGAGCUUGCAUUUUGCAGGGAACUUGGAUCUGACUGUAUUCAAGCAGCCCUGGCAUGAGUCAGGACCAGCCAUGAGAAGCUUGUUUUGUUGUGGCACCUUCAGAUAACACUCCAGAUAUCUUGCCUCUGAGUGACUAAGGAACUCCUCUCUCACCCUUCAAACAAGGAGUCAUCAGGUUUCAGAAGAGCAAUGCAGGGCUGUAGGUAUGGUAUCACAGCUGCAUUUCUCAGAGCAAAUAUUUGAAAGGCUUCAUACCCUUGGUUCUUACCAGAUGUUGAUUCUGACAGGAGAUAAAAUACCAGGUUUUCAAAAAUGUCAGCAUGGGUGAAUUAUGGCUAAUAGAAAACAACAACAACAACAAAAGUAAAAUCUCUGGUUCUGAAGAUCUGCAAAAUUACUGUGCACAAGCAACAUUUGACUCAGGAGACUGGUAUCAAUCAAAAUAAAAUAGAGAAAAUACAGCCCAAUUGGAAUUUGACUAUUUUAAAUGUUUGGAGCGCUAACUCUCAUUCCUUAACUAACCAAGUCAGGACCUCAGCAUCCUCUCUGCUAACCACCAGUAACUGAUUUCUCUAAAGCAGUUCCAUACAACCUCUAAUAAAUAUUUAAUUCUCUAAUGGUGGCAAAGGUCAUCUUGGAAUUCCUCUGCUUGGAGAAGGAAUGGAGCUCAUAAAAUCUCAGUGUUCAUUCAAGAGUAAAAGAUGCAAUGUCCCUUGCCUAAAGCAUGGGCCAAGACUGGUCAAAAAGGGUCUUAAGAUCAUUGUUUUCAACAUUAUUCAGAAAAAGGUGAGUGAAGCUGAAGAUCCUUCUGCAUGGUUAUCUGUUGAAAUGCAUUUAAUUUCAAGAGUGAAAUGUUUGUGGAAAUGUGUGAAUAGUGUUUCACGCAGGCUUUAAUAUCUUCUAGACAAGAAAGAAGAUUUUGCUUUGUAUUUUAGCAAUCUUAUAUUAAUAGAUGGUGCACAUAGUGACAAAAUUGACACAGAUUAAGGUAAUUGAAGACAGAAAACCACAGAACUACAGGGCUGGAAGAUGAGCUAUAGGUGAUGGCAUCUUUAUUUCAUUUAUUUAAGAUUGUGUAAUAACGUUACUUAUCAAUUUUUCUGAAGUGUGACUGGCACUCAGACAAUGGGAAUUAGACAACCAGCACUACUGAAAAUGUCCUCUGGUGAUGACUCAAGCACCUUUAUGAGGGCUCCAAAGCAAUUAAUGGAUGUACUUAUAUAUGUACUACUACAACAGAACUUCCAUUAUUUUGCAGUCCCAUGUCAUAGCAUUAAUAUGUAGGCAAGCACAGGUGGAAAACUGUUGAACACCAUACACAUUACAACUUUGCUGAUGGUAGGAUGAGCAUGAACAAACAUGUUUUUAAAAAUCCAGGAAAGAAAGAAAAAAGGGCAACUGUAUGUACAAUGCUUUAACUUCAUUUACUUUAAUUAACCCUGUGUAUCACAUUCUAAUAAAUGUGAAAAUGCAGAACA
rnacentral:lncRNA from 1 species